GUUGAUGGCCGAUGCGGUGGCGGAAGGUGACAUGCUUCUCCCAGUGAGUGUAUUUUCGACUUCCCGCGGCGUUUUCGAGCGCCGCCAAGGCCAACCGAUCGAUCGUUUUGCCUUGCAGGAUUACCGAAACGCGGCCAACCGCCCGUGGCCUUCCAGACACAUCCCGUACCGCAUUGACUACGAGUUGGGUGAGAGCGAGUGCCGCCGCUGGCCCAAAAGCCUAAUCACCAGCGCUGUCCGUCCCACAGGCGACCGCACCAACGACAUUGACGCCGCCCUGAAGAUGAUCACUUUCCACACUUGCUUGUCCUUCCACCAGCGCACCAGCGAGGCAGACUACAUCUUCUUCAAAAGCGGCUUCGGGUGCGCAUCUUACGUGGGCUUCAUGGGCGGCAAGCAGGAAGUGCACGUGGCCGCCACCUGUAAGGUGGGCAACAUCGUUCACGAGGUCCUCCACGCGCUGGGCUUCUUCCAUGAACACACCAGGCUGGACCGUGGCAAAUACAUCAACAUCCUGUCCAGCAACAUCAUGCAAGAUUCAGCCGGGAGAAACGUUCCAGCUUCCCUACGACCUGCCCUCCAUCAUGCACUACGGCAGGUAAGGCGCCAGUUGCCCGCUCGCUCGCUCGCUCAAAUUGACAUUGUGGCCGUUGAUCGCAUUGGGCACGCAGCCAUUUUUUCUCAGCUAACGGGCAGCCUACCAUCGUGGCCAAGGUGAGGGAUGACAACAUGGGCCAGCGCAUCACCAUGACGCACACUGACGUCCAAAGAGUUCGUCUGCUCUACAACUGCGACCGAGUGGGCAAUGUGGCGGAGCCUACCCCAGCGCCUAUCUUCAGUGCGUACAUUUAUGACUUCGUCGGCCUUCCCCGCAAUACCACGCUGUCGCUGCUGCGUGGCGCCAGAAAGCGCAACUCAACAGUCUCCGACGUCUAAAUAAAAUCUUUACCCUUGUC